rnacentral:rRNA from 1 species
UAUGGGUUAGUGGCGGACGGGUGAGUAACGCGUGGGUAACCUGCCUUACACAGGGGGAUAACACUUAGAAAUAGGUGCUAAAACCGCAUAAGCGCACAGCUUCGCAUGAAGCGGUGUGAAAAACCCCGGUGGUGUAAGAUGGACCCGCGUCUGAUUAGCUUGUUGGCGGGGUAACGGCCCACCAAGGCGACGAUCAGUAGCCGGACUGAGAGGUUGGCCGGCCACAUUGGGACUGAGAUACGGCCCAGACUCCUACGGGAGGCAGCAG